UGGGGAAUAUUGGACAAUGGGCGCAAGCCUGAUCCAGCCAUGCCGCGUGAGUGAUGAAGGCCCUAGGGUUGUAAAGCUCUUUCACCGGUGAAGAUAAUGACGGUAACCGGAGAAGAAGCCCCGGCUAACUUCGUGCCAGCAGCCGCGGUAAUACGAAGGGGGCUAGCGUUGUUCGGAUUUACUGGGCGUAAAGCGCACGUAGGCGGACUAUUAAGUCAGGGGUGAAAUCCCGGGGCUCAACCCCGGAACUGCCUUUGAUACUGGUAGUCUUGAGUUCGAGAGAGGUGAGUGGAAUUCCGAGUGGAGAGGUGAAAUUCGUAGAUAUUCGGAGGAACACCAGUGGCGAAGGCGGCUCACUGGCUCGAUACUGACGCUGAGGUGCGAAAGCGUGGGGAGCAAACAGG
rnacentral:rRNA from 2 species